GCCCAAGAGAUCGGGAUAACACCUGGAAACAGAUGCUAAUACCGGAUAACAAUAGAUGAUGCCUAUCAACUGUUUAAAAGAUGGUUCUGCUAUCACUCUUGGAUGGACCUGCGGUGCAUUAGCUAGUUGGUAGGGUAACGGCCUACCAAGGCGAUGAUGCAUAGCCGAGUUGAGAGACUGAUCGGCCACAUUGGGACUGAGACACGGCCCAAACUCCUACGGGAGGCAGCAGGU
rnacentral:rRNA from 1 species